CAGGGUGUGGGAAAGCCUGGUUAAUCCACUCGCCUCGGAUGCGAGAAAUCGUCGGUUCAAAUCCGACCACCCUGACCA
rnacentral:tRNA from 1 species